CUUGAACUUAACUUUUAUUCACAAGUAUUUGUGUCGUGUGGGUGUGAGGUGUAAUUUACAUUUGUUCUAAUGUGGCGUGUGCUACUGCUAUCACUCAACGUACCGUACUUUUACUGCUUCUGUUGAAUUGCGUUGCGACGCUGACGAUGCCGACGGGCGAGAUCCCCUCGCGGACGUCGGCGAAACUGGCCGGAUGAAGGCCCCGGUACCGGUACGAUGGUGAUCCUGAUGCAGCGGGUGGAUGGACCAGCGGGCGUUGCUGGCUUGAAUGCAGGCAGGCGUCUUCCCUCCUUGGCGAGCAUCGGCGUGACCGCGGCUAACCACAAUGGCCAACGCCGAGAGGGGACCCUCCUUUGCAAUUAGGGCCUUUGCCCGAGGGUGUGAAUUGUUGGCGCGCAGCGCCAGAUGACGAACGACGAUCCUUUACGGAUUAGGCGCGGAAUCCUCCCGGAUUCGCGAGCCGAACCGUGUGCUGAACGACUUGAUGCGGCGCUAAGAGGCAGUAAGAGGCACUAAGAGGUCCUGAACCAGCUGUAAACGUUAUAACACACUUCCCACCCCAAAGGGGGGGGGGGGGGUAUACACUUAACUUCACCGGAUAAAAUAUACUUCAGCACACGGACGCCUGAUAGAAAAGAGACCAGAGUUUGAAACUGCUGGCCCUUUUAUAAUAAUUUUGAGAUGCAUUUCCCUCCAAUUUUUAUCCCAAAACCAUUUUUAAAACUCCAGCAUCGCGCGUCUCCAGGCUGGGUGGUUCAGCUACCCACCGAGACAAGCUGACAGUUUGCAGCGGUACGCACCCUUUCACUACCCUGCUUACUGUUGUUGUGUAAAUUAGUACAAAAAACGUGAAGGUUCUAAAGACAAACAAAUAAUAUUUACAACAAAAACCUAAGCAAUGGAACCAACGGUUACACUAUCCACUACUCCGGUGAAAAAAUGUGAAAGCACGAAGUGAUUUAACAUUUUUUUUUAUCAAAUGCUUCCUUGAAAUCAUCUUCGGCUCAAAUUGAUUCGUGAAUAGGCAACCCACAAUUCUACAAACAAUAUUUACAACAUAUUUACAACGCGCGAAACCAUAAUUAAACUUUACAAACAUAUUAAAAUAAUAAAUAAACAAUUUAAAAAUUCAAACAUAAUAUGUACAAAUCAAAUUUAUAUAUACAAAACAACUAUCCAAACAAAAUACUACAUUUUAAAUAAUUGGACGAACUAUUUACAACAGUUAGCAACAAAAUAGUAUACAACCCUAUUUACAUGUAUGUACAACACUUUUAGAUCACUUUCGAUUCCCACGGCAAACCCUCAGGCGGGCAAGUGUACCGGCGGGCAACCUGACGUUUCUCACGUCAGUUACAAAACGUCACACCAAUGUCAUUGGAGCAUAUCGUUAUGCUCAAUGUUUAUAUGGUGAUGAAAGUGCUAAAAGUGUAAUUUCAGUUCAAUAAUCGUUGAAAUCGGCCAAAUUUUCAACGAAAAUCGAGGUAAGUGAUAAAUUAUCAAUGAACAUAUCGAAACUUAGCCUUCGACAGCGGUUCAUUGUUAAAAAAUUGUCUCUUUUAGGACAUAAACAGUGGUGGUAUUUUGCUGCCAGGAUGCAAUCUUUCUGCGAAAGAUUGACCUGCAGUAACCGCCAAAUCUUCCCGGGAUCAACCAUGAAGCCAUCUUGACUUGCAAGAUGCACUACAGAGAUGGUCAAUAUCACCAAGUGGGCCAUCCCCUCAUCGCAUCUCCACCGUCGGCGCACAGAUGAAGGGAAAAACUAUUAACCCCUUCAUCAUCCCCGAAUCGGCCAGUGCGACUAUGGAUGCCCAUGAUGGAAUGGAAAAGUACCUAUGACUCAUCCAAACCAACCAGAACACAAGCGGAUUACAGGAUCUGAUAAGUCGACUCCAGAGUAAAAAUGGAAGUGUUAUCCGUAACCUCUGGCAAAAGCCAACACCUGGAUCCUGCCCUUCAUUUCUGUCGGUCUGGCCUGAUCAGCCAUUAAAG